UAGGGAAUCUUCGGCAAUGGACGAAAGUCUGACCGAGCAACGCCGCGUGAGGGAAGAAGGGUUUCGGAUCGUAAAACUCUGUUGUUAGAGAAGAACAAGGACGGUAGUAACUGAACGUCCCCUGACGGUAUCUAACCAGAAAGCCACGGCUAACUACGUGCCAGCAGCCGCGGUAAUACGUAGGUGGCAAGCGUUGUCCGGAUUUAUUGGGCGGAAAGCGAGCGCAGGCGGUUUCUUAAGUCUGAUGUAAAAGCCCCCGGCUCAACCGGGGAGGGUCAUUGGAAACAGGGGGACUUGAGUGCAGAAGAGGAGAGUGGAAUUCCAUGGGUAGCGGUGAAAUGCGUAGAUAUAUGGAGGAACACCAGUGGCGAAGGCGGCUCUCUGGUCUGUAACUGACGCUGAGGCUCGAAAGCGGGGGGAGCAAACAGG
rnacentral:rRNA from 1 species